GAUGAACGCUGGCGGCGUGCUUAACACAUGCAAGUCGAACGAUGAAGCCCAGCUUGCUGGGUGGAUUAGUGGCGAACGGGUGAGUAACACGUGAGUAACCUGCCCUUAACUCUGGGAUAAGCCUGGGAAACUGGGUCUAAUACCGGAUAGGAGCGUCCACCGCAUGGUGGGUGUUGGAAAGAUUUAUCGGUUUUGGCUGGACUCGCGGCCUAUCAGCUUGUUGGUGAGGUAAUGGCUUACCAAGGCGACGACGGGUAGCCGGCCUGAGAGGGUGACCGGCCACACUGGGACUGAGACACGGCCCAGACUCCUACGGGAGGCAGCAGUGGGGAAUAUUGCACAAUGGGCGCAAGCCUGAUGCAGCGACGCCGCGUGAGGGAUGACGGCCUUCGGGUUGUAAACCUCUUUCAGUAGGGAAGAAGCGAAAGUGACGGUACCUGCAGAAGAAGCACCGGCUAACUACGUG
rnacentral:rRNA from 1 species